GCAACAGCUUCCAGCAAGCUCCAUCCUUUCUGUCCCUGAGCCCUGUCCCACUCCUCCGCUUUGAGGAGAGGGGCUACUGAGUGGGGGGAGGGAGACAGGAGCAGGGGGACAUCCGGAUAUCAGCACCCCUGUGGCCCCCUCCCCCAGCAAGCAGGAAGCUCCUGGGAGCAGCUCCAAGGCAGAGGGCAGAGAUCACAGAGAAGAAUCAGAGAUUUAACAGCUGUCUGAACAGCGUAUUCAGUAUCAGAAAAGAUGAAUGAGAGAAGAGAAGGUAACAGGAACCUCAGUUCUGCAAAAUAUAACAAUUUCAGUUCAGGAGUAUGCAACUAUUUUCUUUGUGUUCGGUUUAUGUAUUCACAGCUGACUCCAUACUCUCAAGAUUUGAGGUAAAUUUUGAACCCAGAAACUCAAAGUAAAACUAAUUAAAAUUCAGAAUUUCAACUGAUUUUUUUUUAUUAAAGUAAAGGGUAAGCUCCAUGGCAAUGAUUUGUAAGAGUGACUGGUGAGAGCGGGGAAACAAGUGCUUAACUUGCAGCAUCUAAUACAGGCCCUUUGGCUUCAAUUAGAUUUAUGCAUAUGCUUAAAUACUUUGCCAUAUGGGAAUGUGAUUAUGCAUGUGAUUUAAAUUAAGCAUGUCCUUAAAUGUUUUGCUGAACUGGAGACGAUUUCCCUGGAAA